CAACUCGCCUACAUGAAGUCGGAAUCGCUAGUAAUCGCGGAUCAGCAUGCCGCGGUGAAUACGUUCACGGGCCUUGUACACACCGCCCGUCACACCAUGAGAGUUUGUAACACCCAAAGCCGGUGGGGUAACCUUUUGGAGCCAGCCGUCUAAGGUGGGACAGAUGAUUGGGGUGAAGUCGUAACAAGGUAAC
rnacentral:rRNA from 1 species